GACCAAGUGGCGCAGUCGGUAACAGGGAUGGCUAUGACCCAGAAGGCCACGGGUUCGACCCCCCGCUAGAGUCA